AACGAUUCAGGCAGCUCCGACGAAGAUCAAAUCCUAUCCCCACUCCCAUUCGCACAAAACCUCAGAAAACCAAUCCGAAUCUUCGUCUCCGUAUCUCUCUCACGUCAACGGAGAAGAAAUCAGAGAGAGAGAGGGAGAACAGAGAUCAGAAACAAGAUGCAGUGCCGCUUCAAAUCCCUCCCCCGCCUCCUCCGAUCGACGCGCUCCCAUCUCUUCUCUUCGACCUCCACCCCUCAGCCGCCGCCGUCGCCUGGAGCCCUGGGUUCGCAGUUUCCCCAGACCCUGGAGGGCCUCCGGGCACGGCUAGCCGAGGAAGCCCCGACCCUCUCCGAAUUCAUCGGCCUGCAGUCGAGCAACUCUUACUCCGUUGAGGUCGGGACCAAGAAGAAGCCCCUUCCCAAGCCCAAGUGGAUGAAGGAGUCGAUUCCAGGAGGGGAGAAGUACGUUCAGAUCAAGAGGAAGCUGAGGGAGCUGAAGCUUCAUACCGUCUGCGAGGAGGCCAAGUGCCCCAAUCUAGGGGAGUGCUGGUCCGGUGGAGAAACCGGGACAGCCACCGCCACCAUUAUGAUCCUCGGCGAUACUUGCACUCGGGGUUGCAGGUUUUGUAACGUCAAGACAUCACGAACUCCUCCGCCGCCUGACCCGGACGAGCCUACCAAUGUGGCCGAGGCUAUUGCUUCAUGGGGUUUGGAUUAUGUCGUGAUCACUAGCGUGGACAGGGAUGAUUUACCUGACCAGGGCAGUGGACAUUUUGCUGAGACAGUGCAGAAACUCAAGACACUUAAGCCGAAAAUGUUGAUAGAAGCCUUGGUACCAGACUUUCGUGGAGACUCGGGGUGUGUGGAGAAAGUUGCAAUGUCAGGGCUAGAUGUCUUUGCUCAUAAUAUCGAGACAGUUGAAGAGCUCCAGAGUGUAGUCCGCGAUCGUCGUGCUAACUUCAAGCAGUCUCUUGAUGUCCUUAAGAUGGCCAAGGAGUAUGCACCUGCAGGAACGCUCACCAAGACUUCGGUAAUGUUGGGUUGCGGCGAAACACCUAAUCAAGUCGUGAAGACUAUGGAGAAAGUGAGGGCAGCUGGUGUUGAUGUCAUGACUUUUGGUCAGUACAUGAGACCAUCAAAGCGUCAUAUGCCGGUCUCUGAUUAUAUCACACCUGAGGCUUUUGAUAAGUACCAAACUCUUGGCACGGAAAUGGGAUUUCGGUAUGUUGCAUCUGGUCCCAUGGUUAGAUCAUCAUACAAGGCCGGUGAAUUCUAUAUCAAAUCCAUGCUAGAAUCAGAUCGUGCUGCCGCUUCCUCAGAGCUUCCCAUAUCUGGAUAAAUUUAAUGUGCACCCUCUAACUCGCGCCAUUUACAAACCAUCAAUCCUUCAUAUUGUUUGUCCGGCUAUUCGCGUGGCUCAACUACGGACUAAGCCUUCAUGGAGUCCAAGAUGGGUUUUCGGGGUACAGUAGGAAAAGGCGGGUAUUGCUGCCUUCUCUUCUGCAAUAUGGAUACUAUCUGGAUUGAUGGAGGGUUGUGCUAUGAUAAGCUUGUGUACUGGACUAUAUUCUCUUUCGAAAAGAUGAUUGGCAGGGCAUACGAACUGAGGAGUCAUAGAGCAUAAUCAUUCUUCGCUCAUGAGUUGUGAACCAAGUAUUGUGGUCAGCUCGUCAAAUCAUACAAGAUCAUCUUUGAUCUUGGAGUUUUGGACAGUCGGGCAUCAAUUAUUUUAACACCCCUAGUACAUGGAAUCGCAUAUAUAUUAACAUGCAUCAUAAUCUGCUAUGGUGGUCCAUAUGACUACAUGUAAAAUGUUUCUAGCUGUAACGUCUUGGAAGCUGAUGAUGAAUGUCAUGUGUUCCUGUCCAUGAUGAA